UUGGAAAAUGGUUCUUAAAAGGUUAUUCGAUGUCAUACUAACCCUAGCAAAGAACUCGUUGGCUUUAAGAGGACAUCGAGAAAACUUAAGUGAGGAAGGGUACCAUGGAAAUUUUCUGUCCGUUGUGGAGCUUCUCGCCCGUUAUGAUCACAUAUUGCGGCAAGUUUUGGAUAUGCCCAAAGGAUCUACAAGAUAUCUGAGUGCAACAAUCCAAAAUGAAAUGAUUGAAAGUUAGGGGACCACACUUGAAAAUCAUAUACUCGAGAAAAUUACAGCGUCACCGUUUUUCGCCAUAAUAAUAGAUACGACACAGGACAUAUCGAAGGUAGACCAGCUCAGCAUUGUUGUGAGAAUCGUUUGUAGGCUUUUAUGCAGCAUACAAACAUGGCGCUGCAGAUUUAGUCAACCAAAUAACUAAAUUAUUUAUCGACAAAAAAAUUGAUCUGAAAAAAUUUGUUGGUCAAGGUUAUGAUGGCGCUAGUGUUAUGAGCGGUGUGUAUAAUGGUGUGCAAAAACACAUUAAGGAUAUCCAGCUCAAUGCAGAGUACGUUCAUUGUGCCAGUCAUAACUUAAAUUUGAUGGUGAAUGAUGCAGUUAGCGCUUGUGUGGAAUUACAGAUUUUUUUCGCAACGGUGCAAGACUUGUACAAUUUUUUCGGAAAUAGCAUUAAACGUUGGGAUCUGCUUUCUUAAUUCACUGGCGAAUCAGAUACCACAUUGAAAAAACUAAAUCCCACUAGAUGGUCUAGUAGAGUAAACACGAUAUCUGCCAUAAAACUUCGUUUUUUCGAUAUUAUUAAAGCAUUAUCAUAAAUAGUUCUUAAGAGCUCCAGUAAAGAUGAGCGUAGUCAAGCAGACUCUGUUAAAAUAAAAAUGUUCAAUUUCGAGUUUGUGUUCCUUUGCGAGUUCAUUGAAUAGUAUAGUUGAGUAUUGAAUGAUAUUAAUUAUGCUUCUAAAACUUUACAAACAUGCUCUAUCAAUUUGGGCGAGGCAAGUCAAGUAUUAGAAGAGACAACCUCAAAAAUGCAAAUUUAUAGAAAUGACUUCGAAACAUUUAAUUUAAAAGCCAGUGAAACUGCAGAUAAAUAUGGUAUAGAUCCCCAUUUUAAAGAAAAAAGGAAAAGAACAGUAAAAAAACACUUUGAUGAGUUAGCUUCUGAUUUCCGGUUUCAAAACAGGGAACAAAUAUUUAAAACUGGAACGUUUUACUGGUAUGAGGGAGGUAAAUAAAAUAUUUCAGUUU